rnacentral:rRNA from 1 species
UACGUAGGGGGCAAGCGUUGUCCGGAAUCAUUGGGCGUAAAGAGCGUGUAGGCGGCUCGGUAAGUCCGCUGUGAAAGUCGGGGGCUCAACCCUCGAAUGCCGGUGGAUACUGUCGGGCUAGAGUGCGGAAGAGGCGAGUGGAAUUCCUGGUGUAGCGGUGAAAUGCGCAGAUAUCAGGAGGAACACCUAUUGCGAAGGCAGCUCGCUGGGACGUAACUGACGCUGAGACGCGAAAGCGUGGGGAGCAAACAGG